rnacentral:lncRNA from 1 species
AAAAAAUUGACACAAAUGGAUAUUAUGGAGGUGGAGGUUACGGUGGUCCAUGGCGUGGUGGCGGCUAUGGCGGUUGGGGCGGUGGUUAUGGAGGUAGGGGUGGAUAUGGUGGAUGGCGUGGUGGUGGAUGGCGUGGGGGUUGGGGUGGUGGUGGCUGGCGUGGGGGUUAUGGUGGCGGUCACGGCGGUUGGGGCGGUGGUUGGCCUAACGAACACCAUGAUGCUUAUACUGACGCUGAACCUCAUAACUAAGGAUGAACUUGAGCUGUUAGGGUUACUACUACAAUAAAUAAAACUUCAUGUGAAGUGUACUUAAUAGAAAAAAGAAAAAAUAUAUAAUAAAAAGUUAGAAUCAUGUGUUGUAUUGUACUUACUAAAUAAAUAACACUCACGUACCUUGUGUUUAUAUUUCUUUAGUGUUAAUGUCUUGUUUUCCUAUUUUGUAUAACCCUAAACCCUACACUCCAACACACAGUGGCAACUGAAGGAUUAGAUCAAAGUUUCAAUUUAUUUCUUUGAUUAUAGAAAUAAAUUUUGAGACCAUAUACAACGCUAGUAUCAUGAUUGUGAUACAAAUUGAUAAAAGUGCUAAACUUGGUCAAUAAAAUUUAUAAUCUUAAAUUGCAACAAGAACAAAUCAAUAAUUAUUAUCGUGAAAUUAGAGGCUAUAAGGAUUACUUGAAACCUGAUCUUUGUGUCGGAACCGGUGCUCCAGUAUACCUAGCAGCAGUUCUCUUGAAUAUCUCGCUGCUGAGGUUCUUGAGUUGGCUGGAAAUGCAGCUCGUGAUAACAAGAAGAAUAGAAUCAUUCCAAGGCAUGUGUUGUUGGCUGUUAGGAACGAUGAAGAAUAGAAUCAUCGACAGAUAUUAUGCCAUGAUUUAGUAAGUUGAUUUUUGUUGGCAACCUGCCACAAAGCAAACGCCAAGCUGAAAUAGAAACCUUUAAGGGCACCUGAGUGUGCCAAAUAAGGUUUCCUAAAUCAUCUAACAAGGAGGAAUUCUGAGUAGUGAGCAGUUAAUAACCUGAACGCACCGAACAACCCCCCCGCAAUGUCGGGGUGUCACUGCCAGUGAUCUGAAACAUUAGACUGACGGAGAUUUGAAGAAAUAGGUGAUAACAAUGCAAUCAAGCAUGUAUCAUUAGGUAUGUAUCAAAGUUAUACCAUAUCAGAGGCUCGCUACAACUUACUUAACAACAAGUAUUAUCAACAGGAAAAUGAUCUAGAGACACCUCUCUAACACAUUGAGCGAAAAAGAAUUAAAAUGAGUGAUGUGAUAAUAUGAUAGAAAUAGAGAAAAAAAAAUGAAGUGUUUGAUGAGUUUUGAGAACUUUGGGAUGUACAAAUAUAAGAGUUAGUCCCUAAAAGAAAUAUAUAAGAGCUCAUUAUCAAAAUCUUAUCGAUCAUAUAUAAUUUAUGGAAAGAGAGGAUGAGAGAGAGAGAGGGACCUAGAGAGAGAAAGUGAGGUUGGGAAAGGCGUUUCAAAGGACAAUCAUGAGAGUGGAGGUCCGGUGCCGGAGAAGCGACGGGAGCACUUCCGCGACCACUCAACCACGUCGUUCUUCUUUACUAACCUGCCGGAGGGGUUCAAAGUCUCAGUUCUUUGGACAAAUUUUCUCAAGUUUGGUAAUGUUGGGGAGGUGUAUGUUCCAUUGAAGACUGACCGCAGGGGACAUAGGUUUGGGUUCGUCAAGUACCGGGACAUGGUGGAUGUGGAGGCGCUCGAGUCUCGUUUGGGGGAGAUCUGGAUGGAUGAUUCGAAGCUGCAGGUCAACAGGGCCAAGUUUGGGAGAGAGGUGAAGCGUCCAACUUCUAUUUCGGUGAGGAAGGACGCAGUUGGAGGUAGAGGUUUGGAGGUUUUCAAGGACAGAUCCUUCAAACAGGUGCUGCUAAAUCGUCAGAAGGAUGUUGUUGGUCCGGCGGUCUUGCGAAGGUUGGUGGCGCUGCCUUCAGAAGACAGAUUGAGGGAGUUAGAAUCCUGCUUUGUUGCUGAGUUGUCUUUUCUUAGAGAGCCCAAACAGGUUCAACACAGUUUGGUGCUGGGAGGGUUGAACAAGAUAGGUGUGAUUCCUAUGGGAGCAAAUAUGGUUCUUUUGAAAGCUGAAGAUCCACACUUGAUUGAGGAAGCAGAAGGUAGGAGUGAUCCUUGGUGGAGAGGUUUGUUCAAAUCAGUCAAACGUUGGGCUCCAAACUUGGUGUCUAAACAGAGGUUGAUUUGGAUAAGAUGUUUUGGAUUGCCUUUGCAUGUUUGGGAUGAGAAGACCUUUAAGAAGAUGGGAGCUCUCUUUGGAGAGUUUGUUGAUUUUGAUGAGGAAACCAUAGGCUUAAACAGAGUUGAUAUGGGAAGGAUUUAUGUGCUUUCUUCAUCAAUGGCCUUCGUAAAUGAAAAGCUUAGGGUGGAGGUAAUGGGGGUGGUUUUUGAUGUAUGGGUCGUGGAAGAGGUGGUGCCGGUGGCGGUUGGAAGGAGGGCGUUGGAUUCCGAUUGGCAGGAGGUCUCUGAUGCGUCAUCUCAUGGCGGUGGGGAUGGUGGCGUGUUGCCUGAGCUCUUGGAAGGGGGUAGUGAGGUCAGCCCUAGGGAACUAGCUUCCGUACGUGUUUUGCAGCUGCAUGGGUCAAAGUCAAAUUGUCACUUUUCUCUUCAGAGGAGACAUUUGGAGUGUUCAGAGGAGCUUCCGUCUGUGGGCCAACCUUUAGGUGCUUCUUUGGUGAAUAUUUGUUGUAAGGAUCCAACCUUGGUAGGACACCUGGAAAGUGAAGUACUACCCUGUGAGGAGCAAGUUCUGUAUGCUGAAAAGGAGCUGUCAACAUCUCCUAAUCCUCCUCCUUCUUGCGAUGGAAUUGUGGGGCCACAGGAGGUAAGGUGCCUGGAUGGGAGUGCAGAAGAGGUUUUGGCGCGUGGGAUUGAAAUGGGAGUGGAGUUAGGAGCUGAUGUGGAGCUGGAAUAUUCUGAUAGGAAUAUUAACAAUACUGGGCCUAUUUUUUCUCAUGGGCUUUCGGUGGAUAUUUGUGGUCUGGAGGCAGAUUCUAUUUUUGCUAAGGGUGGAGUUAAUAACAGGGAGGUGGGAAGAGUUAAUAGUCAUGUCCGUUUUCGAUCCGAGGAUUCAGACCUUUCGGAAUUUAGUGAUUCAGUAGGUGAUUUUAGGGAGGAGCAUGAAAGGAAGGUUUUGCACAAAGCAAAGUGGAGACUUAAGAAGAAAACUGGAGGUGGUAAAUCUAUUCCGCCGGGCACUGAUGAAGGUUUUUCACCUCUCAUAAAACUAUUUACACGUAAGUAUAAUAGGAUCGUGUCCACAGGGAGUUGCGUAUUUCAUAAACAUUUUCACAAUAUUUGUCACGUUAAGUGUUUGGGUAUAAAUUGUUUGUUUGUGUAAAACUAUUUUCCUAAUAGACAUAAAAGUAAAACGAGAAGAGAUAGGGCUAUUCCGCUUGCGGUCAGAGACAUCAACCAAGCGUAACAGCUGCAAUCUCUCGAUCGAUUAACGGAUUCUAGCUUUUUAAACUAUAUUAUCACAAUCACUCGACAAUAUCAUUCGUGUCCAAAUGAUAUCGUUAUUUCUAAGGGAUCGUUUAAACAUCGAUUUCCCAAACAUUUAAACGAUCACAAAGUCGUUUGGGUAGUUUAAUCGACGAUUUCCCAACCAAUUAAAUUACCCAAAAGCAUUAAGUUCUAGAUUAAAAGUGAUUAUCAAAUAUUAACAUCCAUGUCUAGAGUGAUAACUUAAGAUAGAUUGUUAUUCUAUUUCUAGAUUCAAAAGUAUGUGUCAAUAUUAUUUUGAAUCUCAAUAAAACAAUAAAAGCAAGAAUAACAACAAUAUUGAAUAAAUAAGCUAGAACCAUAUAUUAAAAGAUCAAAAGAUUACAUAAUAGCUUGUUUGAAUACCUCAAAACUACAAGAGUAGAUGUAGCUACAUAUGUCUAUGAUAGCUUUGCAAAGGAUGAAGAAAUGGUGAAGAUUCCAUGACAAGAUCCAUGAUGUCUCAACAAAUCUUGGCUUGAAUCUACACCUAACUACCUUGCUUUGUGUUUCUCUCUCUAGAAAAGCCCUAGUCUCUCUCUAAAACCAGAAAAAUAUGAAUAAAAAUGUAAUAGCAUUCUUGGAAAGAGAAGAGAUAACUAUUUAUAUGGGCUGACUGCGUGCCAGUUCGCUUAAGCGAACAUCCAGGAAAUCUCCAGUUGACCAUUGAGGUGCUGCCACGUGGUCCCUAUCUUCUGAAGUUGGAUGAACUUCGCUUAAGCGAAGCACAAGCGAACAUGUGAGCGAACUUUCCUGGAGCUCACUGGAACUUUGUCGCUUAAGCGAACUGACCUUUCUUCAUGAGCGAACUGGAAGCGUGCUUGUAAGCGAACAUAAUGGUUGCUCUCUGUAAUUAGUUCGCUUAAUUGAACAGGAGUUCGCUUAAGCGAACGGACCUUGGUUCAGGAGCUUCCUUCUUUUGGUCCUUGCUUGUCAUUUCCUGCAUAAAUUGGGUAGAAUCAGGCAUGUAAAGCAUAAAUGGUAAAAUUGCACUCAAAUGGUAGCUUUUCCUUAGAUAACUUGCAAAACAAAUCACUAAUUUGCCUAAGUUAACACAUGAAAUAUGUUACUUUUGAGCACUUAUCAGGCACUGAGAAUUUUGCUCUUAAAGAGGACCUGUUGCGUUGUAAUAAAGGCAAAGGAAAGAAAAAUUCCAAGACUAGUUUGUGUUCUUCUAAUGGAGAAGCAGAAGCGGCUGGUAGUGGGAAGAGGGUCGGGUGGAAGGACGAAGGCGGCCUAGACCAUAGGGGUAGAGUGAAUGGUUGGGUGGAUUCCUCAUCUUCGGGGCUUAGAUUCAUACUUGAUGAGGAAGGUAUCCAUAAGCCGGAAUCACCGUUGCUGAAGGUAGGAGGGGAUCCUUUGAAGAAGAUGGAAGCAUCAUCUCUGUAUGGUAUUCAAAAUGAGCUAGGUGUAUCGUUUACAACCCCAAUAGGUGCUAAUAAGAGUAGGUUGGAGAAGAUGGAAGAGUUAGAUGUGGAGAAGAAGGCUUUACGGGAGAGUAAAUUGGUUAAUCAAUGAUCAUCACAACCUUUAAUAUUAGAGGUUUGGGGGGUGCUUCAAAGAGGAACAAAAUUAGAGAAUUAAUGCGAAACAAUAAGGUGGAAUUUUUGGCUAUUCAAGAAACGAAAAUGGAGGAGGUUACGGAUAAUUUUUGUCACAAGUUAUGGGGAGGGGUGGAUUGUGAUUGGGCUUUUCUCCCUUCCGAAGGUAACAAUGGAGGUAUUCUCUCUAUUUGGAGUAACUCUAACAAUACUACUAAUUCUAUUUUUGUUGGAGAGGGUUAUGUGGGGGUGUGUUUGGAUUGGGGAGUUUUGAAGCAUAAAUGCUAUAUCGUCAAUGUCUAUUCUAAGUGCGAUUUACCGGCUAAGAAGAGAUUGUGGGAUAGGCUUGUUGAGUUGAAAUCGACGUUGGGUGAGGGAGCUUGGUGCAUUCUUGGAGAUUUUAAUACGGUGGGUAGUUGCGAUGAACGUCGAGGGGUGAAUGAAGAGAUUUCGUCUAGUCAUCGGGAGGAGAUCUUCCUUUACAAUAAUUUUGUGCGGAAUAUUGAUUUGGAUGACUUGAAUGUGUUGGGAAGACGAUUUACGUGGUACCAUCCCAAUGGAAGGGCAAUGAGUCGCAUUGAUAGAGUUCUUAUUUCCGAAGAAUGGGGGCAAUUGUGGGGGGACUCAUCCCUUUGGGUGCUCCCUAGAGAUGUUUCCGAUCAUUGUCCGUUAAUUUUAAAAGAAGCCGGUUGGGAUUGGGGGCCGACGCCAUUCCGUUUUAAUAACUAUUGGUUGGAAAAUCGUGACUUUAAGCGGGUGGUGGAGGAUGCUUGUAGAGGGGUUCAUAGAGAAGGAUGGAUGAGUUUUGUCUUAAAAGAAAAACUUAAAGCUUUGAAAUUGAUCAUUAAGGAGUGGCAUCUUGGUGUUUAUGGGGAUUUGGAGGCUAGGGUGAGUAAGGCGGUGGAGGAUAUCCUUGUUUUGGAUGUAAGGGGGGAGGAAGGAUGGUUGAGUGAGGAAGAGGUGGAUAUGCGUAAAACUUUGUUUCGGGAAUUAUGGAGGCUCUUAAAAGCAAAAGACUCUAAUAUGGCCCAAAGAGCGCGAAAUAAAUGGCUUAAGGAAGGGGAUACCAAAUCCAAGUACUUCCAUAAGUGUGUUAAGUCUAGGAGUGGUAGGAAUUCCAUCAAGGCUUUAAGGGUGGGGGAGGAUUGGGUGAAAUCUCCUUGAAUCAAUCGGCGUUUCUUAAGGGGAGGAAUUUGGUGGAUGGGGUGGUGGUUAUUAAUGAAAUUGUGGAUUACGCUAAGAAAUUUAAAAAGGAGUGCUUGAUACUUAAGGUUGAUUUUGAAAAGGCUUACGACUCCGUGGAUUGGGGGUUUUUGGUGUAUAUGAUGAGGAGAGUGGGUUUGUGUAAAAAAUGGAUAGCUUGGAUAAAGGCGUGUGUGUGUGGAGGGAGUAUGUCGAUUCUUGUUAACGGGAGCCCAACAGAAGAAAUUAAUAUUCAUAGAGGCCUUAAGCAAGGAGAUCCUUUAGCUCCAUUCCUCUUUCUUUUGGUGGCGGAAGGUUUUAGCGGUUUAAUGAGGAAUGCUAUCUGCGGUAAUUUUUUUCAAGGUUUCAAGAUGAAGGAAGAUGGGAAGGAGUACUCUCAUCUCCAAUAUGCCGAUGAUACGAUUUGUAUGGGGAAGGCAACCGUGGAGAAUCUUUGGACUCUAAAGGCUAUGCUACGUGGUUUCGAAUUGGUUUCGGGCUUGAAGGUGAACUACCACAAAAGUUGCUUGUUGGGUAUUAAUGUGAAUCCGGAUUUUAUGGAGAUGGCAUGUAACUUCUUGAAUUGUAGUCAAGGGAAUUUCCCGUUCCGGUAUUUGGGGUUGCCGGUUGGAGCUAAUCCGGGUAGAGUUUCGACGUGGGAUCCCCUCUUAGAGCACUUAACUAGGAGGUUGAAUUCUUGGGGAAAUAAGUAUAUAAGUCUUGGUGGGACAAUAGUUCUCCUUAAUUCGAUCUUGAAUGCGAUUCUGAUUUUUCAUCUUUCCUUUUUUAAAAUGCCGGUUAAAGUGCGGAAGAAGAUUGUGAGAAUACAAAGGGAGUUCCUUUGGGGAGGGGAGGAAGGUGGUAGGAAAAUUAAUUGGGUAAAAUGGAGUUUGGUGUGCCAACCUAAAGAGUAUGGGGGCCUUGGUGUGAAGGAUGUGUGGUGGAUGAACUUGUGUUUGUUAGUCAAAUGGAGGUGGAGGGUGUUGAAUGGCGAGAAUGCUCUUUGGAAGGAAGUGCUUGUGGAGAGGUAUGGUACGAAUGUACGUGCUAAGUUGGAAAGUGGGGUGGAGGUAUGUCCACAUAGUGCUUCUAAGUGGUGGAAGGAUUUAGUUAAUAUGGAUAAGAGGGGGGAGGAACGGUGGUUUAAUGAGGAGUUGGUUAGGCGAGUGGGGGAUGGUACGAGGACAAGUUUUUGGAGGGAGGGGUGGAGAGGGGGGAUAUUGUUUAUGGCCAAAUACAAUAGACUUUUUUCUAUUUCUAAUCAACAAGAUGCUUCGGUUAGAGAUAUGUGGGGGGAUCUUGGUGUUGAGGGGAGUUGGAGAUUUAGUUGGAGGCGUCGCUUGUUUGUGUGGGAAGAAGCUCUUCUUGCUAAUUUGGAGGCCGAUUUGGAAGGAUUCACGUUGACCAAUUUUGAUGACAAAUGGGUUUGGAAUUUGGGAGACACGAAGGUUUACUCGGUUAAAUCCUUGUAUGAUAAGUUGGAGAAUGAAGGGAGGGUGGAGGAAACUCUCUCGGAGGCCGACAAGUUGGUGUUUGGUAACAUUUGGAAGGCCGGUGUCCCGUCCAAGGUAACCGCUUUUUUUUGGAAGGCUCUCUUAGAUCGAAUUCCUUCUAGAUUGAAUUUGGAGAUUCGACAUUGUUUGCCACCGGAUUCUGGUAUAAAUUGUGUUUGGUGUGAGGUAGGGGUUGAUUCAACCUCUCAUAUUUUCCUUCAUUGUGACUUGGCAAGGAAUAUUUGGUUAAAGCUAAUGGAGUGGCUAGAUUUUAGCUUUGUAAUGCCUCCAAACUUGUUUAUCCAUUGGGAGUGUUGGAGUGGUGGAACUUCGAAUAAGAAAAUUCGAAAGGGCUUGAGAAUGAUAUGGCAUGCGGCUAUUUGGGUGUUGUGGAAAGCGCGUAACAAUUGUAUUUUUAACAACGAAGUCACUAGGUGGGUUGAGGUAGUGGACGAGAUCAAGGUUUUGUCUUGGAGAUGGUUGUUGGGUCGCUUUCAAGUUCCGACGUGUCAGCUUUACGAGUGGGAAUGGAACCCUCGUGAUUGUCUUAUGCGCUGACAGGCUGUUGUGUGUGGACAGCAGGUUUGCGCUGCUGGUUAUGGAGGCUUGGUUUGAGUUUUGUGUUUUUCUGCACAUGCUGGCUGCGACUCUACCUGCUGCGGGUGUGCUAUGGUCUGUACAGCAACUUUGUUUUUGGGCAGUUGUGUUUCCCUUCGGAGCUUUGCGGGUUUGUGAGGGGUGCACUUUGGUUGGGGCAAUAGGUGUUGGCUGCUAGGUGGCUGGUUUUGCUGGUAUGGGUGCUGACGUGAGGGUAUGCCUGUGGUAUGCCAUAUGUAUAUGCCCACGUCAUUAUUCUUUGGUUAUCUUUUGUUUUAGGGUGGUUUUUAAGGGGUUUUUGUUCGAGCUGAUGUUUGUGUGGCAACCGAUUUCCCCUUGUUUGUUUUUUUUCCACCCAAGCUUAUUAGUGCUUCUUGCACGGGCUUGUUGGUUAAUAAUAUUUUGCCGAUUCAAAAAAAAAAUAAUAUAAUUUAUGGAAAAUGCUAAAGAGUGCUCUUAGGGCAUUGGUUAAGUGAACAUAAAUAGAAAUAAUUUGUUGAAAAAUGUUGAAUUCAACUUUGUAAAAGUCAAAAAGUUAUAAUUUCCAAUGCAAAACUACUAUUUUUAGUUUCCUUAACCAUUACCCUGAGGGCACUGGUUAACAAGACCCAUAAUUUAUUCAUAUUUAUAGAUACUAUGGAAUCAUCGUAUUACUUUUAAAAGUGGGAACCACUCUGGUCACAUAGCAAUUUCAAAGUAUCUAUCUAUAUAUAUAUAUAUAUAUAUAUAUAUAUAUAUAUAUAUAUGUCCGUUUUUAAUUGUUUUUGUCAUCGAAAAUGUCUUUUGUUAGUCAGGUUUAGUCAUCAAAUCUAUUUUUUUGUUGAUCAAUUUAGUCCGCAAAAUUGUUAACAAAAGAGACACAUUAAGUCAAUUUGGUCAACACACCCAAAUAAAUAUAAGGAUUCAAUUCGAGCAAGGUUAAUUAUUUUUUUUUUAUUUGAAUUGCUAAAUGGAUCAAAAAUGUAUUCGAGGAAAUGACCCCGUCUUUUUUUUUUUUUUGAACAAACAAAAAUGGAAUAUAUAUUAACCACAAAAAACAACUCCUCUAGCACAAGAUGUGCCAAAAGAAUUACUCAAGGAACAAAGUUUCAAUUACACAACCACCAAACAAACCAUUAUGUGAUGCCCAACAAUUGAAACGGGCUUGAACAUCACCUAUCUGUGCCAAACCUAAAGGCAACCUUCUUGGCUUUCAUCUAGGCUAAAGACAUAUAUUUCACUUUAUCUAACAACCUGGGAAUAGGGCUUACAACAUUAUUGAAAAACCUAUUAUUGCGCUCAUUCCAUAAGAUCCAAACGCACAAUAGCCAAAUAAGUUGAAGGAAUGACCGUUUUGCUCUGCCACCGCCUGUUAAAUGCACGAAUUGAAGAAAGUAAUCGACUAUAACAUUAGUGUCGACACCUGUAAUGCCCAACCAAUGAUGCACUAGGGGCCAUAACGACGAAUAUAUAUUACAAGAUAAAAACAAAUGUUGCGAUGUCUCCACAAAGCCACACUCUAAAACACACAAAGAAGCCUCUGAAAAAAUAACCCGUCUAUGAACUCUGAAAUGACCCCGUCUUGUAUUAUUUUUUGAUAGAAUCGAACAAAAUGGUUAUGUUGCUUCCAUUUUUGAGACGAUUAAAGAUCCCUCAAGUAAUGUUAUGUUAUGAUUCACAAAUAAUUUAAAGGAUCCUGUAACAAAUAAAUACUAUUUAAAAGUUGCGUCAUCAAGUAAUAUAUAUAUUGGUUGGAUUUGGUCACAUAUAUUAUAUAUACCAGUGUUAGGACGAGCACUUUGUGUUUGUCUUUCUGUUCUUUUUAUUGCGAUAUUAACGCGUAUAAAUUAUGAACAAUAGUUUUUAUCAAAUUUUGAUUAAAAUUAUUUUGAUUUUAGUUAAAAAUAUAGGUAUAGAUAAUAUAUAUUUUACAUUUUUAUAUUGUAAUAAACUAUACUUGCAUUUUUCAGUUAUCCAACAAUAUAAUAAAUAUAAUAUAAAUUCUUAUUUGUUAAAUGAAACUAACAAAAUAACCGUAUCAUAAUCAAAAUUGCUUAAGAGUAUAAUUGGAAAUAAAAAACCCAACGCAAAACCAUGCAGUUUCUUUAUAUACAUUGUAUAUAAUUAUAUUAGAAAAAGAAAAAUUAGUAACAGAAAAAAUAAAAUUCCUCACAAAUUCCUUCGUCGCAAAAUUUAGUGACGGAAUUAGAGAAGGAUUUCAUGUUUUCCCUCACUAAAUAUCCCUCACUGAUAAUUUUAAUUCUUACGUCAUGAUAUGUUAUGAUACAUGCUCUUAGUUUCAUGCAAGCACUCGUACACCGAAAAUUAAUUGAAAUUAUUGUCUUCAUAUUACUUGAAAACUUGCAUCUGAGAAGUGGUCAUUAUCGUUCUCAAUACGAAUGCUACUAAUCAAGAUCAUGUAGUAUAUGACCUUCAUUAUCGACCUCCAUAUUGCUAAUCUGAAUAACAUUCUUUUGUCUACUUUCUAAUAAUAGUAACUCGAGAAUGAUCAAACAAAGGGAAAAGAUAAGAAUGAAAUUUUAAAUAAAAAAUGUCAACCAAAGAAUUUAAUGCUUUUUGUUCUAUUUCUUCCUCAUCUUGCCUAUAAAUACAUAACUUUCAGUCACUUCAUUUUCAUCGAUCAAUAUACAAUAGUUUCAAAGUAAGUUAUAAGAAAAUGAAUUCCAAAGGGUUACUUUUUCUAGCUAUGCUCUUGGCUUCCAUUCUUCUCAUCUCCGCAGCUGAGAAAUCUGACAAAAAAGAUGGUAAUAAAUCUGUUCUCAAUUUUCCCAACAUUAAUUAUAUACCGCAUGAUCUUACUCCGUUCAUUAUUAUAAAAAACAAUUGACUUCUGAUGUAUCUAGUCUAUAUUUAUAACAAGAUACAUUAAUUGUUCAAUGAACCUAAAAAGUUAAUUGGUUAAACACAUGUUGUACUCUCACGAGGACAAACUAUCCCUUGUGCUCCCCAUCAAUAAAUUUUUGCUUAUCUUAAUUUCUUUUUUUACAUAUAAUUAUGUCUUUUUUCUUUUUGGUUUGAAGGUAAAGAAAAUGGGAUAGACGAAAGCAAGUAUGGCUAUUAUGGAGGUUGGGGUUACGGCGGUCCAUGGCGUGGAGGUUGGGGUUAUGGCGGUCCAUGGCGUGGAGGCUACGGUUGGGGAGGUCCAUGGCGUGGAGGCUGGGGUGGUGGCUAUGGUGGCUGGCGCGGUGGUUGGGGUGGUGGUUGGCCAAAAGAACAUAAUGAUGCUCAUAUUGAUGCUGAACCUCAUGACUAAGCUAAAAAUCGAGCUAAUGGGCUCUUGUUACUAUACUUAUCACAAUAAAUAAAACUUCAUGUCAAGUAUAGCUUGAAAUGUAAUAAAAAGGAAGAAUCUUGUGUUAUAUUGUACUUAUUAAGGAAUAAAAUGCACGAAUUUAG